rnacentral:rRNA from 1 species
UACAGAGGUGGCAAGCGUUGUUCGGAAUUACUGGGCGUAAAGGGCGCGUAGGCGGUCUUUUAAGUUCCGUGUGAAAUCCCUCGGCUCAACUGGGGAACUGCACGGGAAACUGGAAGGCUUGAGUUCGGGAGAGGGAAGCGGAAUUCCGGGUGUAGCAGUGAAAUGCGUAGAUAUGCGGAGGAACACCGAUGGCGAAGGCAAUCCCCUGGACCUGUACUGACGCUCAUGCACGAAAGCGUGGGGAGCAAACAGG